rnacentral:rRNA from 1 species
UGGGUUCCUGUCCAAGGAUCAUCCGGGCAGGGUUAGUCGGCCCCUAAGACGAAGCAGAAAUGCGUAGCCGAUGGGAGACGGGUUAAUAUUCCCGUACCACUGACACAGAGCAGAGCGGGGACGGAGAAGGCUAGGGUAGCCACCUGAUGGAUGGUGGUUCAAUCCAGUAGGCUGUCUGCUUAGGAAUAAAACGAGCGGAUAAGGCCGAGAGGGUACGUCGAAGAGACUUCGGUCUUGAAGUACCUGAUGCCAUGCUUCCAAGAAAAGCCGCGGGCUGCGAUGAAGUGUUGGUGACCGUACCGCAAACCGACUCAGGUGGGCAGGUGGAGAACACCGAGGCGCUAGGGAGAACACUGGUUAAGGAACUAGGCAAAUUAAUACCGUAACUUCGGGAUAAGGUAUGCCAGUUAGGUGAAGGGCCUGCGCCUGGAGCCAAGACUGGUCACAGCAAAGCGGCGGUAGCGACUGUUUACCAAAAACACAGGUCUCUGCAAAGUCGUAAGACGAUGUAUAAGGGCUGACGCCUGCCCGGCGCCGGAAGGUUAAGAGGAGCUGUCAGCGCAAGCAAAGCAGCGAAUUGAAGCCCCGGUAAACGGCGGCCGUAACUAUAACGGUCCUAAGGUAGCGAAAUUCCUUGUCGGGUAAGUUCCGACCUGCACGAAAGGCGUAACGACUUCCGCGCUGUCUCAACCAGUGGCCCUGCGAAAUUGACGUUGGGGUGAAGAUGCCCCAUACCCGCAGAAAGACGGAAAGACCCUGUGAACCUUUACUCUAGCUUGGCAGUGACAUUCGACAUUAUCUGUGUAGCAUAGGUGGGAGGCGUUGAGUUCGGCGCGCUAGCGUCGAAGGAGCCACCGUUGAAAUACUACCCUGAUGAUGUUGGCUGUCUAACUUCGAAAGAAGGACACUGCCUGGUGGGGAGUUUGACUGGGGCGGUCGCCUCCCAAACAGUAACGGAGGCGCGCGAUGGUUCUCUCAGCCUGAUCGGAAACCAGGCGUAGAGUGCAAAGGCAUAAGAGAGCUUGACUGCGAGACGGACACGUCGAGCAGGUUCGAAAGAAGGCCUUAGUGAUCCGGCGGUCCCAUAUGGAAGGGCCGUCGCUCAACGGAUAAAAGGUACUCCGGGGAUAACAGGCUUAUCACGCCCAAGAGUUCACAUCGACGGCGUGGUUUGGCACCUCGAUGUCGGCUCGUCGCAUCCUGGGGCUGGAGCAGGUCCCAAGGGUUUGGCUGUUCGCCAAUUAAAGCGGCACGCGAGCUGGGUUCAAAACGUCGUGAGACAGUUUGGUCCCUAUCUUCUGUGGGCGUUGGAGAGUUGAGAGGAUCUGUCCUUAGUACGAGAGGACCGGGAUGGACACACCUCUGGUGUUCCGGUUGUCGCGCCAGCGGCACUGCCGGGUAGCUAAGUGUGGACGGGAUAACCGCUGAAAGCAUCUAAGUGGGAAACCCCCCUCAAGAUUAGCUCUCCCCAAAGGACCCAGGUAGACUACCUGGUCGAUAGGCAGGGCGUGUAAUCGCAGCAAUGCGUUCAGCGAACCUGUACUAAUUGUCCGUUCGGCUUGU